GGCCCGGUAGGGCACGGAGACCCGGGCGCGGACGCCGGCCGGGGAGAGGACCGGGACGUCCAGGCCCAGUUCGCGGCCGGUGCGGGCCU
rnacentral:tRNA from 1 species